rnacentral:rRNA from 1 species
CGGAGGGUGCAAGCGUUAUCCGGAUUUACUGGGUUUAAAGGGUGCGCAGGCGGAUAUGUAAGUCAGUGGUGAAAUCUCCGGGCUUAACCCGGAAACUGCCGUUGAUACUAUAUAUCUUGAAUGCUGUGGAGGUAAGCAGAAUAUGUCAUGUAGCGGUGAAAUGCUUAGAUAUGACAUAGAAUACCUAUUGCGAAGGCAGCUUACUACGCAGAUAUUGACGCUCAUGCACGAAAGCGUGGGGAUCAAACAGG